rnacentral:miRNA from 1 species
AGGAGGAAAUCUGAUUUGUCAUUC